AGCUGUUGGCGGGGAUUGAUUUGAAACUCAUGGGCUGAGCCAGAAGGACAGUAUCAUAUUUCAGGAUGUAUCACUUUUGCAGAUGUGUAAUGGUUUGACCGAUAAAGCUAUUGGAGCUUGCUCCGAACUAAUUUUUGCUCCCAUUGCAUCAAAAGCUUCCGGAAAAUGCUGCACUUCUAUCUUCUGGGUUUCGCAUAUUUCCACUAGAUUCUAAUUGUAUCAAGAUUGGCACAAAAGAUGUGGUUCGAGAUAGUGGUGGAGGAUGGUACUCAUCAGGCGAUUCAAAAUUAUUGUUGGUUACUGUUUUUCAGUUCCCAUUUGAGAGCCAUCUUCAGGAAAAUGUUGCGUCAAUGGCUAAAGAAUAUGUCAGACAGGUGAUUUCCUUUGUGCGAACUAUUGCGUGUACACUAAGAUCAUCCGAGUUGAUCCCUGUUGUAGGGAUGAAACUAACUGCAGGCUCCCCUGAAGCUAUGACCCUUGCUGCUUGGAUUUACAAAAGCUACAGGCAAGUUUAGUGUUCUAACUACUAACGUGAAUAAUUGCCACUAAACAUAAC